AUUAAGACCCUGGGCAUCAGCCUUGUAGGAACCAUCUCUUCUUAUUCUGAUGCUUUGACAUCUUGGGGCCUAUGCUGACCCUGAAGAGACUGUGCUUCUCAGGAGUAGCCAAUUCCAACAGAUAGUCAAGGGUUCUCCAGUGAGUACACCUUCUAUGUGCAAACUAGUCAAUUCAGAGCCCAUACACCAACCAUCCUCUUUAUCAAGACCUUACAAACUCUCACACUCUAGGUGACUAUUUCCCUGUCCUAAUCAUCCCAGAGCCAGGUAUCAGACAACUAGGGGUGUCCCUAUGCCCCAGAGCCCACUGAAAUUAUUCAAACUAGUCAGUCCUAUGCAUGUAUAUUUGUCUCACCUGUGUUUCCUGCAGAAACCACAAUAAAGGCUCUUGUCCAUGUUCCCUCCCCCAUCCUGCCUCCUGACUGACUGACCCUGGUGCUGCCUGGCGUGACCCUGCGUGGUGUGGCCCCUCCUCUUGGGAACUAAUCUAGAUGUAAUGGCUGGAACUCAAGCAGCCGUCUGGGAGUUUAAGCAGCUCAAGCCCUGUGCAGAGGAGAGUGAGACAAUGGAAGGAACGUAUACCGUGGAGCACUACACCAGCCUGAGCACAGGCUCCGGACGCGCAGGCUCAGCGGCCAUGGCUCAAGGGCCC